rnacentral:rRNA from 1 species
GACGUAGGGCGCGAGCGUUGUUCGGAAUUACUGGGCGUAAAGGGCUCGUAGGCGGCCAACUAAGUCAUACGUGAAAUCCCUCAGCUUAACUGGGGAACUGCGUGUGAUACUGGAUGGCUUGGAUUUGGGAGAGGGAUGCGGAAUUCCAGGUGUAGCGGUGAAAUGCGUAGAUAUCUGGAGGAACACCGGUGGCGAAGGCGGCAUCCUGGACCAAUAUUGACGCUGAGGAGCGAAAGCCAGGGGAGCAAACGGG